GUUCAGUCUCCACUCUGGUAAAAUGCAUUAAAGCUUGUCUGCAGAAGGAUCCGAGUGUCCCGUGUAUGAUUUCUUGCUGGCGAGAAAUACAGAGCACGCGGGGGACAUACAAUAUGGUGACCUCCCGGGAGCGGGGAGCCACCAGGUUGCCUAAGGAGGGGUGAACCGGUCCAGGUCGGAAACGGAGCAGGUCAAAACUCCCGUGCUGAUCAGUAGUGGGAUCGCGCCUGUGAAGUAAUUCACAUCUUGGUGUCUUCAGGCACC
ensembl:misc_RNA Metazoa_SRP Metazoan signal recognition particle RNA